GAUGAACGCUGGCGGCGUGCUUAACACAUGCAAGUCGAGCGAGAAGUUUUGAAAAGAUUCUUCGGAUGAAAUUUAAAAUGGAAAGCGGCGGACGGGUGAGUAACGCGUAGGCAACCUGCCCCAUACAAAGGGAUAGCAUUUGGAAACGAAUAUUAAUACCUUAUGAAACUUAACUAGUGCAUGCUAGGUAGGUCAAAGAUUUAUCGGUAUGGGAUGGGCCUGCGUCUGAUUAGCUAGUUGGUGAGGUAACGGCUCACCAAGGCGACGAUCAGUAGCCGACCUGAGAGGGUGAACGGCCACAUUGGAACUGAGACACGGUCCAAACUCCUACGGGAGGCAGCAGUGGGGAAUAUUGCACAAUGGGGGAAACCCUGAUGCAGCAACGCCGCGUGAACGAUGAAGGCCUUUGGGUCGUAAAGUUCUGUUCUAGGUGAUGAAAACUGACAGUAA
rnacentral:rRNA from 1 species